AUAAAUUAAGUAAUAACAUACAAAUAUCGCAAUAUUAUCGAUUGUUCCUCGAUGUUCAUCACCCAUGGUCAAUAGAGACAUAUUAUUGCAAAUAUGUAGAGUGUUGCAGAUAAGUUGAGUUUUGCAGAGAGGAUGAGUGUUGCAAAGAUGUUGAGUGUUGCAGAGAGGAUGAGUAUUGUAAAGAUAUUGAGUGUUAUAGUAUUUAUAGAUGAGAAAGUAACUUGAAAGUAAGUUGAGUGUAAGUUUG
rnacentral:lncRNA from 1 species